CCUUGACAUACUAAGAACUUCCAGAGAUGGAUUGGUGCCUUCGGGAACUUAGAUACAGGUGCUGCAUGGCUGUCGUCAGCUCGUGUCGUGAGAUGUUGGGUUAAGUCCCGCAACGAGCGCAACCCUUUUCCUUAUUUGCCAGCGGGUCAUGCCGGGAACUUUAAGGAUACUGCCAGUGACAAACUGGAGGAAGGCGGGGACGACGUCAAGUCAUCAUGGCCCUUACGGCCAGGGCUACACACGUGCUACAAUGGUCGGUACAAAGGGUUGCUACCUCGCGAGAGGAUGCUAAUCUCAAAAAGCCGAUCGUAGUCCGGAUCGCAGUCUGCAACUCGACUGCGUGAAGUCGGAAUCGCUAGUAAUCGCGGAUCAGAAUGCCGCGGUGAAUACGUUCCCGGGCCUUGUACACACCGCCCGUCACACCAUGGGAGUUUGUUGCACCAGAAGUAGGUAGUCUAACCGCAAGGAGGACGCUUACCACGGUGUGGCCGAUGACUGGGGUGAAGUCGUAACAAGGUAAGCGUAGAUGA
rnacentral:rRNA from 1 species